AUAUACAGUAUAUAAUAGUAAGUGCAUAUAUAAGUACAUAUAUACAGGGGCGGGGGGGCGGGGGUUGGGCGCGCAUUACUUACGUAUACGAUCCUAUACACAGAAAAAGGAAAAACAUUUAUAUUGGAUGUAAUACAGCAAUAGUUCCAAGUAAUUUUUAUCGACGGAUUAAAAUUUAAUCGAUUUGGAUUAUCGAACGAUAAAUUAUAGAUGAAAUGUCGUAAAGGAGAAAAAUUUGGGCAUUUCAAACGUUCUAAAACCGACUGUAAAAGUUAUUAUUGAAGCGGUAUUCUGUGACAAUGAAAGUAUACCAGAAGAAUAGAUCUAUUGGGCGAACAAUUAUUCAAAACGUUCUCUAUGCUAAAAUCGUCAAGAUAUUUUUGAUUGACAGUAUUAUUCGUAUAACGAAAUGGCCGAGAAAAUCUACGGAUCUAAAUCUAAUCGAGAUGCUGUCGAUUAAUAUUGGCAAAUAGGUAAAAAGAAACAAACAAAAGCCGAAAAAUACUGAAGAUUUAUAUAUUAUUGUACAAGAGGCAUGGAACUUGCUAGUAAAUUUCUUCGAUUUAUCAUAUCUACACGUCGCAAGGGUGUGCUGAAAUUAUUAGAAAUAAGGAUGUACACAUGAAA